rnacentral:rRNA from 1 species
UAGGGAAUCUUCGGCAAUGGGGGGAACCCUGACCGAGCAACGCCGCGUGAGUGAAGAAGGUUUUCGGAUCGUAAAGCUCUGUUGUUAAGGAAGAACGAGUGUGAGAAUGGAAAGUUCAUGCUGUGACGGUACUUAACCAGAAAGGGACGGCUAACUACGUGCCAGCAGCCGCGGUAAUACGUAGGUCCCGAGCGUUGUCCGGAUUUAUUGGGCGUAAAGCGAGCGCAGGCGGUUAGAAAAGUCUGAAGUGAAAGGCAGUGGCUCAACCAUUGUAGGCUUUGGAAACUGUUUAACUUGAGUGCAGAAGGGGAGAGUGGAAUUCCAUGUGUAGCGGUGAAAUGCGUAGAUAUAUGGAGGAACACCUGUGGCGAAAGCGGCUCUCUGGUCUGUAACUGACGCUGAGGCUCGAAAGCGUGGGGAGCGAACAGG